rnacentral:lncRNA from 1 species
CCUGGCGCAGGGCGUGGCGCGGGGGGGCACGGGCCCCGGCGGUCGCGGGGUUGGCGUGGCGCGAUGCUCCCGCCGGGGCCAGCGCGCGCCACCAUGCUCCCGGCCCGCGGGACCCCCGGCGCCACGCCACCGCCCGGGUGCGGGGCCGCGCCGGCGGAAGAGCAACCGGACCUGUCCCGAAGGGCCAUUCGUAAGCGAAUUGUUCGAAACUCAGAAAGUACUCCCCAACCGCACAGUUCCAAUUCUUCCUGGGCUGCGGCCGCCCGACACCGUCGUGGGCAGUCCCGGUCCCGGAGAAGGAAACUCGGGCUUGCUCACGGCGGGUCGGGUCCGAGCCUCACCUUUCUCUGCCUCAGUUUCGCCAGCUGCGUGUGAGUAGCCCAAGGAGGGAAGCCUGAGAGGCCCUUCAUUGUUUUCUUGAGGCAGCCGAGCAAGCCUCGUGUUCUUUACCUCUGAAGUGGGGCCCUCCUGAAAGUAAUGCCCAGACGGGCCAUACCCGGUUUCUAAAGUGACCACCGAAAAAGCAGCGGGGUUAAUGUGAAUCAGCCCCUUCGAAAUAAUUCUUAAUGUCUGGGUUAUGUCGGGUUUUUAGAACAGAUAGGAUACCAAUAAUUACACCUUUUUCUUGGGUCUUGGCGUUGUAAAAGCAGCUCCAACCGUAAAUCACCGUCGUUGAGAAGACACGUGGUGUGAAACAUUCAUGAGUCCUACUUCUCCCUCACUCUGGCCUCUGAGGUUGUUCCUGGAACAACGGUAGAGAAUAGAGACCGAAUCUCUAAAAAGUAACUUCCAGAAGGUCGAGGAGCUGGGAAAGAGCACAGGGCAAGGAUUUGAAAGUUGUCUGUAUUGUCCCAACGCUCUUUUUGAGCACUGUGUUGUACCUCCUGCUUCUAAUAGUGGUUUUUCCGACCUCAGACUGAUGUAAUCAAUGAAAAGUUUUUCCUUUCCUACAACUGAACACUCAGUCUUGUUUCUGGCCAUUGGUCCAAACUCAGAAACCCACAACAUCCAGAGAAAAUGAUGUGAAUAAAUCUUAGAUUCCUGGGGAAAGGAACACAAGAACUCUUUUGUAGACAAAGGAUUCAAAAGCAAACCGAAGCAGAGGAAACUGGGCUAACUUCUACCGAGUUGAUUUGCUUCAAACUUUGCAGUUUUCCUGCAGGCUCUCAUAAGCGAUCUAUACUGCACCAGACACAAAGCCUGGCAGGUCGUAGAACUUUUACAGACGUUUGAAAGUUUCUACAUGCUUUCGCAAUACUUUUUUUUUUUUUUUCUGAAUCGAUUUGUUGGUAAGUUCCAAACACCGUGGACCCUUUAGCCCUCUGUACAUUGAUGUAGCCUUCCCGGGAAUAGAGAUACUGUUUUAUAUAACCACCAUGCUUUUCUGAGAGUCACAGAUUUAUAUGGAUAAGAAACAUGUAGCUAAUCUAGGUUCAUAUUCUAGUUUUGUCAGUUUAUCUGGUAAUUUGGAGCAUUCUUUUUCCUUACAAGACCAGUGCAGUGAUCCAGGCAAAAAGUUGAAUUUCGUUGUCCCUAAACAUCUGUGUUUUCAGGCAUUACUACUCACUGGAAUGGUAUGUCGAUAAAUAUCAAGCAUUUUCUUGUUGGUGUCAAAGCCUGGACAGGCCCUCAUUCCCACAUUUCCUGGUUCCCCGUAGACUUCAGCAGGCAGGGCACACAUAGCACACCUUUCUGAACCAAGGUUAUGGCCUUGCCAUCUUUGCUGUGGCAUUGGGCUAAAGUUAGCCCCAGUGGGGAAAUCCUGGCCAGUAUUGUGGGCAGAGUACAUUAGUACUUUCUCGUCUCCAGACUCACAGUAUCCCCUGCCCACAUUUUCCCUCACAGAAUGGAGACAGAUACACAUGUUGUAAGGCUAUGCAGUCUGCAAAUGAGCCUGGAGAAUCCAGCUUCCUGGGGCAAAGACAGGAUGGCUUUGUGGCUCACAAACUUCCCAAAGAGGUGCCUGUAUUGAGCACUGAUCUUCAGCAGUGGUGCCCUUUCAGAAGGUGGUGGACACUCAGGAGGUAGAACCUGGAUGAAUUCAGAAGUGGGUUUCUUGAAAUAGAACUUUAAAGAUGGAAAAGAAUAGCAGAGACACGGAUGGACAAUGUAAGGACACUGGGGAACUAUGAAAGGGAUGGACAGCAUUCUCACGUGGCAACAGUGGUCUGAAGCUUGGUGGCUCAGUUUACUUUUAGGUCAAGCUGAAUCUCUACAUCACUAAGAGAUUCCUUGAUGGAAGUGAGAGAUGGCCAAGUGGGAAGAAAGUGGAACCAAUGGGAAAGCCUUCACUACAUAGCAUCAUUGGCUUUGGAAUUAACAGCUUCAGAUGCCAAACAUGGAUGAAAUGCUGACUUUGAGCAACUGUUUGGAUCAGCAGGUGUGACAAAACUCCUGAAAAAGCAGCUUCAUAAAGAAAGGUUUUCUUUUGGCUUUUAGUUUCUUCGUUUCGGAGAAUGUAUGGCAGAAUGGCUCAGGCUGUGGAUGGAAGAAAAGCCAGCAGACAUCCAUAUCCGCAUUCUACACCUCCUGGCCUGUGAUGAUAUGAGCUUCUCUGCUCUGCCAUGCACUGCCUGCCAUGAUGGACUGAGCCCUCUGAGGUCAUGAAAAAAGGAUGGACUGAGCCCUCUGAGGUCAUGAAAGAAUUUUCCCUACCAGGACACAAGGCUGACACCUUCUACUGAGGACUAUGGAAUUAGUCAGGAACCAACACAGCCUGGAGGAGCAAUGCCUAUAGGAUCACACUAUCCAUGAGCAAAGAAAGAUUGCAAGAACUUCAAAAAGAACCCAGAACAAGACAGAGAACACACUGUUCCAAGCCAUGGAGUAGUAGAGAAAGGUUUCCCAGUAUGUGCUCUACAGACUGGCAGCAUCCACACCUCUUUUUUUUUGGUGGUAGAGCAUAAAUACUCUCUACUACCACAAAUUAUGCAGCCGACUUUCCUGCAUUUGGAGAAAUCAUGGGUUAGCAUCCCUGGAGUGCAAUGGAUGAGCCUCACCUUAGGAAAAUCACCCUCAUGAUCAUGAGAUCUCCCCUGCCAGGAGGAUCAUCAGCAUGGUGUAAAGCUAACCAUGGUCCUGGGAGUCAGACUGCCUGGGCUCAACAUGACUUUGUGUUUCCAGCGGAUUCAUUCACCUUAGUUCUAACCUGGCACCGAAGUCCUUGGAAACUCCUGGAGAAUCAUUGGUCUUCUUCUGUGCAUUCUGGAAAGCCAAAGGAGAUGGUAUCUGAUGUCAGCAGAGAACGACAGUGACAGCAACAGAGAAAGAUGCUCAGGAAGAAGGCGGCAGGCAUGCAGGCAGUGCUGAUUAUGUGGGAGCCACAGGUGUAUGUGAUGUGACCUGCUGCUUCAAACUCCUGCUACUAUGGCUUCCCUGCUGUGAUGGUUUGCAACUUAAACUGGUGAAAUAUUGUAACUUUCUAAUACAUGCAGUAAAUGGAUUCCAGCAAAAUUGAAGGAACAAAUGAAAUGCAAACAGUCUUGGCUCAUUGGUAAGUCUGUUUCUAGAAUAUAUUCACCUUCUCAGUUCACUCCAUCCACAUCACUCAGCAGUCAUAGGGUAGUUAGCUCUAUACAAGUCCUUCUGUAAAAAUAGUUAUGGAUGCAGAAAAAAAAUGGAAAAAAACAUUAAGUCUUCCCUUGGGCAGUUCUUCUCCGGGGAGCCAUAUAUUGGAUGACUAGCCAAAGGAUGUCUGUUAUGUCAGGGAUUGCAGUUAUAAUAGGCUGCCUUCACCUGAGUCCUCCAGGCACUUAGAUGGGGCCAACUGUGUGGCUGUUUCUUACAUCAUGCUUGGCUGUCACUGCAGGUGCUCAGCCUCAAAAUGGGAGUCCAGCUCCCUAGCGCUGCUUACUGCCACCUCUCUUCUAUAGUACUGGCUGUUCUUUAGUUCCUGUUUAUUUGUUUAUUUUCAGGGAGGGUGAUCAAGCUUAUAGCUCUUGUGCGUGCGAGGCAAAGAUCUUACCACUAAGCUAUACUCCUAUCCCUUGCAGUCAAUACACAGUUUCAGCCAUACACACUUCUGUUUAAACCCUUGAGGAUGGCUUAUGUGUGUUAGUUUCUUAGGGGAUAAGACAAUAAAUUAUAGUAUGCCCUUUGUAACGACAGAUUGUAUGCCUACAGAUUGAACUAUUGUGGCUUAGAAAUAUUUUACAACUAAUAUUAGAAAUUUUCUUUUAUUGAUUGAUUGAUUGUGUGUGUGCAAAUGUGCAGGUGCCAGGCUGCAUGUGUGGAGAUCAGAGGACAACCUGUAGAAGCCAGUUCUCCCUUUCUACCAUGUAGUUUCCAGGGAAGUGAACUCAGGUCAUCAGACUUGGUUGUAAAUGCCUGUGUGCAAACAAAACCAUUUUGUUGGCUCAAAUUGUGCAAAGUUUCAAAAGUCAGAACUUAAAUUUGCUGUCUAUAGAGCAUUCUGGUGAAAGACAGAAAAUUCAUCUUGUCUACCAUGUUUGCAUUUAUACUGGGUAUAGACAGAUUUAUUUUUUAUUAUAACCCCCAAAAGAUACGAAUUAUUUAUAUAUUUUACUCAUUGUAUUGAGUUUUAUGAAGAAUUUAGAGGUGACUUAAAGUUCACAGGAGGAUGUGGAUGUGUCAUAUGAAAAUGCCAUUUGGUAUAAAGACCAUACCAUUUUGUACUAAGGAUUGAGCACUUUUAGAUUCUGGAAUCUACAGGGGUCCUGGAACCAGUGUCUCACAGAUGGCAAGGGACAGCCCUCACACAAACUAGGUAUCUUAAAACAACAGCAAUUUUUUUUUUGAGGUGUCCUGUGUGAGUCUCAAAUCAAGGAAUCUUCAUGGCCAUGUUCCUAUACAGAGCCUUCUCUGUCUCUCCCAGUUUCUAGUGGUUGUGCAAACACUUGACAUUCUGUGAUGUGUAGCUGCAUCACCCUUAUCUCUGCUUCUAUUGUUCCAUAGCACGCCUCCCUGUGAAAAUCUGUUGUGUACUCUCUCUUUUUAAGAACACAAGCCAUUAGAUUAGAACCCAUUAUAUUGCAAUAGGCCUUCAUCUCAGUUUAAUGAUAGAUACUCUUAAAAGACCUCCCACCAUCACACUGCCUAGUGUGGUGGCACACUUUUUUAAUCCCAGCACUCCAGAGAUAGGCGGAUCUCUGUGAGUUCGAGGCCAGCCUGGCCUACAAAGCAAAUUCCAGGACAGGCCUGUUACACAGAGAAAUGGUCUUUCACCCUCUCACCAGAGAAAGAGAGAGGAAGAGAGAGAGAGAGGGGGGG